AGAGAGAGACAUGCGCGCAUAUCAAUAAGCGGAGGAAAAGAAACUAACAAGGAUUCCCCUAGUAACUGGCGAGUGAAGCGGGAAGAGCUCAAAUUUGAAAUCUUAAAGGGUUUCCCUUUACGAAUUGUAGUUUAAAGAAGUGUUUUCUGUUGAGGUUUUGGUAAAUGUUCUUUGGAAUAGGACAUCAUAGAGGGUGAGAAUCCCGUAUUUGACCUUUACUUUCAACUUUGUGAUACACUUUCAAAGGGUCGGAUUGUUUGGGAAUGCAGUCCAAAAUGGGUGGUAAAUUUCAUCUAAAGCUAAAUAUUGGCGAGAGACCGAUAGCGAACAAGUACCGUGAGGGAAAGAUGAAAAGAACUUUGAAAAGAGAGUUAAACAGUACGUGAAAUUGUCAAAAGGGAAGCGUUUGACACCAGUGUUGUUUUUCUGAAAAUCAAUUAAAGAACUGUUUAUGCUAAGUUGUUUAGACUUUAUCAGCUAACUGUUUAGUUUUGAGCUUUUCUUUAAUGCACUUUUCAGUUAACAAGUCAACAUCAAUUUCUUUUGCUGUAAAAAAGCUUGAGGAAGGUGGCUUGAGAUUCGUCCUUAAGUGUUUAUAGCCUCUUGCCUAUGCAGUCGGAGAGAUUGAGGUCUGCAGCGUAGAUCCUUCGGGGCUAAAUGCAUUUGUGCUAAGUUAUAGCAUUUUAUAGACACUUGUUGACUAUGAUUUGUCUUGUAGCUUACUCGCUUAUGUUAUUUUACCUACGCUUAGGAUGUUGACGCAUGAGAUAUACGC
rnacentral:rRNA from 1 species